rnacentral:rRNA from 1 species
AGCAGUCCGCGGUAAUACGAGGGGUGCAAACGUUACUCGGAAUUACUGGGCGUAAGGCGUGCGUAGGUGGUGGUUUAAGUCCGUUGUGAAAGCCCUGGGCUCAACCUGGGAAUUGCAGUGGAUACUGGAUCACUAGAGUGUGGUAGAGGAUAGUGGAAUUUCCGGUGUAGCAGUGAAAUGCGUAGAGAUCGGAAGGAACAUCUGUGGCGAAGGCGACUAUCUGGGCCAACAUUGACACUGAGGCACGAAAGCGUGGGGAGCAAACAGGAUUAGAUACCCGCGUAGUCCCUGUCUCUUAUACAC